CGAUUCCCUUAGUAGCGGCGAGCGAAACGGGAAGAGCCCAAACCAACAAGCUUGCUUGUUGGGGUUGUAGGACACUCUAUACGGAGUUACAAAGGACGACAUUAGACGAAUCAUCUGGAAAGAUGAAUCAAAGAAGGUAAUAAUCCUGUAGUCGAAAAUGUUGUCUCUCUUGAGUGGAUCCUGAGUACGACGGAGCACGUGAAAUUCCGUCGGAAUCUGGGAGGACCAUCUCCUAAGGCUAAAUACUCUCUAGUGACCGAUAGUGAACCAGUACCGUGAGGGAAAGGUGAAAAG
rnacentral:rRNA from 1 species